UACAGAGGUCCCAAGCGUUGUUCGGAUUCAUUGGGCGUAAAGAGUGUGUAGGUGGCGCGCUAAGUCGGGUGUGAAAUUUCGGAGCUUAACUCCGAAACUGCAUUCGAUACUGCCGUGCUUGAGGACUGGACGAGGAGACUGGAAUUUACGGUGUAGCGGUGAAAUGCGUAGAGUAUCGAUAAGGAAGACCAGUGGCGAAGGCGGGUCGUCGUGGACAGUUCCUGACGCUGAGGCACGAAGGCCAGGGGAGCGAAACGGG
rnacentral:rRNA from 1 species